rnacentral:rRNA from 1 species
UACGUAGGGUGCGAGCGUUGUCCGGAUUUAUUGGGCGUAAAGAGCGUGUAGGCGGCCAGGCAGGUCUGCUGUGAAAACUCGAGGCUCAACCUCGAGACGUCGGCGGAAACCAUCUGGCUAGAGUCCGGAAGAGGAGAGUGGAAUUCCUGGUGUAGCGGUGAAAUGCGCAGAUAUCAGGAAGAACACCCGUGGCGAAGGCGGCUCUCUGGGACGGUACUGACGCUGAGACGCGAAAGCUAGGGGAGCAAACAGG